rnacentral:rRNA from 1 species
GAUGAACGCUAGCGGCAGGCUUAAUACAUGCAAGUCGAGGGGCAGCAUGAUUGUAGCAAUACAAUUGAUGGCGACCGGCAAACGGGUGCGGAACACGUACACAACCUUCCAGCAAGUGGGGGAUAGCCCAGAGAAAUUUGGAUUAAUACCCCGUAACAUAGCGAUGUGGCAUCACAUUGCUAUUAUAGAUUUUUCGCUUGUUGAUGGGUGUGCGGCUGAUUAGAUAGUUGGCGGGGUAACGGCCCACCAAGUCUACGAUCAGUAGCUGAUGUGAGAGCAUGAUCAGCCACACGGGCACUGAGACACGGGCCCGACUCCUACGGGAGGCAGCAGUAAGGAAUAUUGGACAAUGGACGCAAGUCUGAUCCAGCCAUGCCGCGUGAAGGAUUAAGGUCCUCUGGAUUGUAAACUUCUUUUAUAAGGGACGAAAAAAGGCUUUUCUAAGUCGUCUGACGGUACCUUGUGAAUAAGCACCGGCUAACUCCGUGCCAGCCGCCGCCGUAAGAC